UUUACAGCCUCGUUUUGUAUCAGAUACUGAUGAAGUUGAGUUAGCAAAACAAAUGCAACGAUUGGAAGAGGAGAAUCGUGAGAUCAGCGGAGAUGAAGAUUCCGAGGGAGAACAGAAUGGCACAGAUGGUGAGGAGGAGGAGGAGGAUAAAGAUAAAGCUGCAGAUGUGGAAUAACUUUAAAAAAAAUUCUCAGAUUAUUUGUACAUUGAUCUGUAAAUGUUAAUGAUAUAUUGAUACAGUGGAGACACCUUCUGUUGAAAGACCUUAUUUGACAGUGAAAAGCUGGGUUCAGUCUUUGAAAUGGACUGAGACUAGUUACAAUGAGAGUAGUGUUACAAAAGGUGAAAUUGUACUUUUCUUGUACAUUUAUAAUAUAUUUAUUUCAUUAAAUGUAUGUAAUUUGAUUUUGUGAAAUAUAUUUUAAUAACUUGAUGCCACAAAAGAUCUUGCAAUACUUUGUAAAUGCAUGUACUAUAAAGUUUAUAUAGUAAAACAUUUAUCAGUAUAAUCUCUUUUGUUGCAAUUAUAUUUAAAACUGUUUAUAAAAAUUGGAAACUAUUUGGUCGUAAAAAAAGCCACGACAUUUGAUAGAAAUGUUCUAGUUUUGUACUUUUUUGUCAAGUUUGUGACAUUGUAGAAAGCUUGGCAUAGGGAUAGUGAUCUGGCAGCAGCCUUAACUAACUACUUUAAAGCUUUAUAUUUUAAGAAGAAGGAAGACCUGAAUGCUUCAUGUUUUGAUGUAUAUAGAUAACUUAUGUUAUGAAGUUUCAGUCUGUCAUAUGUCCAUUGUCCUUGACCUCUACAUCAUGGUUCAGUGACUACUCGAACAAAAGUUAAGAUUUUUUGUAAUGUUAAUUUUUCUUUUAUGAGUUAUGGGAUAAUUUUUUUUAGUAUGUGCAAGUCAUCAUGACUAUCAGCAAGUUUUCAUCUGACCUCAACCUCAUUCCGUGGGUCAGUGAACAAGGUUGAGUUUUUGUGGUCAAGUUCAUGUAUCAGAUAUGAAAGCAAUGGGUCUCUUAUAUUUGGUGUUUAUUUCCAGCUAGACAGUGUCAUCUAACAUUGAUCCUAUUUUCAUUAUUCAUUAAAUAAAGUUGAGUUUUUAUACAACCAC
rnacentral:lncRNA from 1 species